AUUGAACGCUGGCGGCAUGCCUUACACAUGCAAGUCGAACGGCAGCACGGGUGCUUGCACCUGGUGGCGAGUGGCGAACGGGUGAGUAAUACAUCGGAACAUGUCCUGUAGUGGGGGAUAGCCCGGCGAAAGCCGGAUUAAUACCGCAUACGAUCUACGGAUGAAAGCGGGGGACCUUCGGGCCUCGCGCUAUAGGGUUGGCCGAUGGCUGAUUAGCUAGUUGGUGGGGUAAAGGCCUACCAAGGCGACGAUCAGUAGCUGGUCUGAGAGGACGACCAGCCACACUGGGACUGAGACACGGCCCAGACUCCUACGGGAGGCAGCAGUGGGGAAUUUUGGACAAUGGGCGAAAGCCUGAUCCAGCAAUGCCGCGUGUGUGAAGAAGGCCUUCGGGUUGUAAAGCACUUUUGUCCGGAAAGAAAUCCUUGGCUCUAAUACAGUCGGGGGAUGACGGUACCGGAAGAAUAAGCACCGGCUAACUACGUGCCAGCAGCCGCGGUAAUACGUAGGGUGCGAGCGUUAAUCGGAAUUACUGGGCGUAAAGCGUGCGCAGGCGGUUUGCUAAGACCGAUGUGAAAUCCCCGGGCUCAACCUGGGAACUGCAUUGGUGACUGGCAGGCUAGAGUAUGGCAGAGGGGGGUAGAAUUCCACGUGUAGCAGUGAAAUGCGUAGAGAUGUGGAGGAAUACCGAUGGCGAAGGCAGCCCCCUGGGCCAAUACUGACGCUCAUGCACGAAAGCGUGGGGAGCAAACAGG
rnacentral:rRNA from 1 species